CGUAUACAAGCAAAUGUCCGCCAUUAGAAUUAAGAUAGAAGAAAGAGAAGAUACAAGAAGUAAAACGAGAAAUUACUGUGUUUAAAAGAUCAUGUUUGAAAUUNCCAGGGAACAAGCCAACGUGUUGGAUUCAACACUGCAGAUAUUUUUCUCAAAAAAAUAAAGAAAUCUAAUUUUUCCUCUUUUUCCCACCAAGANAAACAGAUCUUGAUAAACCUUCCUUUCCAGUCUACCUUUCUAAACUUCCCACUUUUUUCCAUUCAUCUCUUACUUUGAACAUCCUUUCAUAUCAAGGUAAAGUUCAAGUAUUUUUUGUAUUUCAUUUUAUUGAUUUUCUGUGCAUUUCAUACAUUGAUGCACAUUGCAAGAUUUGAUUUUUUUCAUUUAUCUGGUAUUUGAACUUUACCUAAGUCUUGAGUACCCUGCCACGUUGCAUCUUUCCCCUAUGGUNAAGUUUGUCAUUUGUGUUUUUGUCGUUUAUGACUCUGUUGAUAAUGUAAGCAUAGGCAAUGCAUUUCUAUCUUUGGCAUUAUUAUUUUCUGUUUCUUUUUAACCUCAUUUACCUCUUAAUUUUUUAAUUAAUUUUGCAUCUAUUUGCCUAUGCUUGACAUUAUGCUAUCCUUAUGUUUGAAGCCAUGUCUUAUGCAUGANUCAAAUCACAAUUUUCCAUUUUGCACUAGCCUGCAUUACAACCAGUUUUAACUGCAUUAGAGUUGUUUUCAUAAAUUCGUGAAAUACACUCAGCACACUUUUUCCCUCUCUUUUUUCAAUGAUUUUCAUUUUGUUAUUUCACUAAUGGUUAUUAUGCUUGGUGUAUUCUCGCAGUUUUAUGAAAGUUACUCUAAUGUUAGUGUUCAUGGGGUAAUGCUGUGUAUCCUGCCUAGUGUUUUUCCUGCACCCAUCAAGUGAAAACCAGACUGUUCUCUCACAAGUGUUUAUCACCAGACUGUGAAGUAGAGAAGAACUAAAAAAUUGGUGAAUGUCCAUUUAAAUGUGAGGUGUUUCAUAAUAGACUACUGAAACAUCUUUACGUGGCUGGUCGCACAAUGCCUCAAAUUGCUAAACCUGAGUUGAAAACGUUCACUCCAUAUUAAUUGAUGCUUAUAAUAUUCAAUAACGUAAUGGGCUUUCAAGAACAUUUUUGUGCCUAUAUAAGUUUUAGUAUUUCACAGUCUGGCUAAAACAUUACAUUUUAAUGGAUGUUGAGGCCCAAGUGCAUCUGAGAGCCUUUCCAUUGUAAUAUGCAACAUUCUCAGAUACCCAUGGGCCUUUGAGUAUAUUGACAUUUGGCUUAUAUAAACUUAACUAGAAGUCUCUGAAUGACAAGUCUUGACUUGAUGUUUCAACCUGCUUGCGACAUUAUUAUUUCAUACUCUUGAAAGUAUAAUGAAACGUCAAGUAAACUGAUAAAUUCAGANUUGUCAAUCAAAACUUCAUAGUCAAGUACUAGUAACUUAAGUAGUUUGUCAGAGUGGUCAGUAACAAAACAGUUAAGGGGUGUCUCCUUUUUUAUUUGCUUAAAGCAGGACAGGGAACCCAAUGCUUUGAAUGAAUACAAGGGAAAUUACAAGGAGACUUCCCCUUGAUUGUCUUGGGCCUGUUUACUCACGCAAACAAAGUCUGGUUCACAGAAAGAAAUAUUUUUUUCUUUGUUUUUUNUUAUGUCUUUCUGAUUGUCUUCCUGUGAACCAGACUUAACAUUAAACAUUGUGUAUCUUAUUCCCUUGGGAAUUAAAAUAUGACAAAAUAAAAUACUAUGGAGGAUUA
rnacentral:lncRNA from 1 species